UAUAAGCUCCGAGUUUUUACUCAUUAAUGAGUGAAAAACAAGUUGAACUUUUUAACAAAUGAUUGUUGCGCCUGUCGUCGUCGGCUUUCGGUGUCAAAAAACAAAGCAAAAUAAUGUUGCUUCCGGCGAGGCUCCCGGUACCGCGCAUCAACUGACUUCGCGAAUCAGCCUUUGUUGGGGACGAUCCAAUACAUCAAUCCAUCAUUCCUGCAACACCAUCAUCAAAACUUCUUCGAAAUCUACGAGUUCCUUCGGAAGCUGGGAAAACGUUUGGCAGCUGAUUGAUACGAAUCGGUGGUAAAAGGUGUGACACAGCAGGUGAUCAACACGCUGAAUUUCGUUCCCCGUGGCGGGGCGGAUAAAUGGCAAUGAGAGCUCGAUCGGAAUUUACUAAUAAAAGCUUAGGGAGCUCCAAGCCGGAUCUUCAACAAAGAAGUUGGCAAAAGGAUUCGAGGAACAUCCGAUGAACGUACUGGAUCAAAAAGGAGCGACACUCUGUCGACUCUGGCAAUCGACGAUAUGAAAUCGGCAAAUCCUCCCUUUUGUGAGAUUCAACGGAUGGGGACCGUCUGUCUUCCCUAUUACGCAUACUAGGAA